rnacentral:lncRNA from 1 species
UAUAAGAAAUAAGCAAAAUAAUUCCCUAAUCAAUUCUCUGCCAACACCCCCUUUCCUUAUGGUAUUGUUUCUGUGAAUAGAACUGUUAUUAAUUCGCUGAGCCAAUCAAUUAAGCCUAAUAAUCUGUCGACAGAGCAAAUUUGCGCAGCCGCCUUAGUGGAAAGGGGAAAUUAAUAGCUGUGUGUGUGUGUGUGUGUGUCAGUAUUUUGUCAGAAGCGGGCAAUGUGUUUUAACAUAUCAUCAAUAUUGUUACCAAUCAAAAACUUUGCGACACAUUGUCAAUGCUCCGUUUUACGUAUCUAAUGCAAAUAUCCACAAAGAUCUUAAUAUUCCAACCGUUAAAGAAGAAAUAAAGAAAACUAGUACGAAAUUUUGUUUCUAUUUUUUUCUUUAUUUUAUUUUGUUAUUUUUCUUAUUCUCUCCCCUUUUUCUUCUCAAGCCAAAAGUUGUUGUAGCUGCUGG